rnacentral:rRNA from 1 species
AGAUUAAACAUAAGAGUUUUGAUCCUGGCUCAGAUUGAACGCUGGCGGCAUGCUUUACACAUGCAAGUCGAACGGCAGCACGGAGAGCUUGCUCUCUGGUGGCGAGUGGCGAACGGGUGAGUAAUGCAUCGGAACGUACCGAGUAAUGGGGGAUAACUGUCCGAAAGGAUGGCUAAUACCGCAUACGCCCUGAGGGGGAAAGCGGGGGAUC